rnacentral:rRNA from 1 species
AGUGAACGCUGGCGGUAGGCCUAACACAUGCAAGUCGAACGGCAGCACAGUAAGAGCUUGCUCUUACGGGUGGCGAGUGGCGGACGGGUGAGGAAUACAUCGGAAUCUACUUUUUCGUGGGGGAUAACGUAGGGAAACUUAAGAUAAUAUCGCAUACGACCUACGGGUGAAAGCAGGGGAUCUUCGGGCCUUGCGCGAUUGAAUGAGCCGAUGUCGGAUUAGCUAGUUGGCGGGGUAAAGGCCCACCAAGGCGACGAUCCGUAGCUGGUCUGAGAGGAUGAUCAGCCACACUGGAACUGAGACACGGUCCAGACUCCUACGGGAGGCAGCAGUGGGGAAUAUUGGACAAUGGGCGCAAGCCUGAUCCAGCCAUGCCGCGUGGGUGAAGAAGGCCUUCGGGUUGUAAAGCCCUGUUGUUGGGAAAGAAAAGCAGCAGGUUAAUACCCCGCUGUUCUGACGGUACCCAAAGAAUAAGCACCGGCUAACUUCGUG